AUUGAACGCUGGCGGAAUGCUUUACACAUGCAAGUCGAGCGACAGCACGGGGGCAACCCUGGUGGCGAGCGGCGAACGGGUGAGUAAUACAUCGGAACAUGCCCAGUCGUGGGGGAUAACACUUCGAAAGAAGUGCUAAUACCGCAUACGUCCUGAGGGAGAAAGCGGGGGAUCGCAAGACCUCGCGCGAUUGGAGUGGCCGAUGUCAGAUUAGCUAGUUGGUGGGGUAAAGGCCUACCAAGGCAACGAUCUGUAGCUGGUCUGAGAGGAUGAUCAGCCACACUGGGACUGAGACACGGCCCAGACUCCUACGGGAGGCAGCAGUGGGGAAUUUUGGACAAUGGGGGCAACCCUGAUCCAGCCAUUCCGCGUGAGUGAAGAAGGCCUUCGGGUUGUAAAGCUCUUUCGGCAGGAACGAAACGGUGAGCUCUAACAUAGCUUGCUAAUGACGGUACCUGAAGAAGAAGCACCGGCUAACUACGUGCCAGCCGCCGCCGUAAUAC
rnacentral:rRNA from 1 species